rnacentral:rRNA from 1 species
CUGGCGGCGUGCCUAACACAUGCAAGUCGAACGGGAACCUCUGGAUUCGUCUGGAGGGGAGGGUGGCGAACGGGUGAGUAACACGUAGGUGACCUGCCUUAGAGACGGGGAUAACCACUGGAAACGGUGGCUAAUACCCGAUGGUCUCGAUGAUUCGGUUCAUCGAGUAAAGCUCCGGCGCUUUAAGAGGGACCUGCGGCCCAUCAGCUAGUUGGUAGGGUAACGGCCUACCAAGGCAAAGACGGGUAGGGGGCGUGAGAGCGCGACCCCCCACACUGGCACUGCGACACGGGCCAGACUCCUACGGGAGGCAGCAGUGAGGAAUAUUGCCCAAUGGGCGAAAGCCUGAGGCAGCAACGCCGCGUGGGUGAUGAAGGCCUUCGGGUCGUAAAACCCUUUUCUGGGGGACGAGAGAGGACGGUACCCCAGGAAUAAGUCUCGGCUAACUAUGUGCCAGCAGCCGCGGUAAGACAUAGGAGGCGAGCGUUAUCCGGAUUUACUGGGCGU